rnacentral:rRNA from 1 species
AUUGAACGCUGGCGGCAGGCCUAACACAUGCAAGUCGAGCGGAUGAAGGGAGCUUGCUCCUGGAUUCAGCGGCGGACGGGUGAGUAAUGCCUAGGAAUCUGCCUGGUAGUGGGGGAUAACGUCCGGAAACGGGCGCUAAUACCGCAUACGUCCUGAGGGAGAAAGUGGGGGAUCUUCGGACCUCACGCUAUCAGAUGAGCCUAGGUCGGAUUAGCUAGUUGGUGGGGUAAAGGCCCACCAAGGCGACGAUCCGUAACUGGUCUGAGAGGAUGAUCAGUCACACUGGAACUGAGACACGGUCCAGACUCCUACGGGAGGCAGCAGUGGGGAAUAUUGGACAAUGGGCGAAAGCCUGAUCCAGCCAUGCCGCGUGUGUGAAGAAGGUCUUCGGAUUGUAAAGCACUUUAAGUUGGGAGGAAGGGCAGUAAGUUAAUACCUUGCUGUUUUGACGUUACCAACAGAAUAAGCACCGGCUAACUUCGUGCCAGCAGCCGCGGUAAUACGAAGGGUGCAAGCGUUAAUCCGAAUUACUGAGGCGUAAAGCGCGCGUAGGUGGUUCAACAAUUUGGAUGUGAAAUCCCCCGGGCUCAAACCUGCGAACUGCCUCCCAAAAUACUGAUCUAGAAUCUCGGCA